rnacentral:misc_RNA from 1 species
GAUGAAGAACGCAGCGAAAUGCGAUAAGUAAUGCGAAUUGCAGAAUUCAGUGAGUCAUCGAAUCUUUGAACGCACAUUGCGCCCGCCAGUAUUCUGGCGGGCAUGCCUGUUCGAGCGUCAUUUCAACCAUCAAGCCCCAGGCUUGUGUUGGGGACCUGCGGCUGCCGCAGGCCCUGAAAACCAGUGGCGGGCUCGCUGUCACACCGGGCGUAGUAGAUUUUAUCUCGCUCAGGGCGUGCUGCGGGUUCCGGCCGUUAAAAAGCCUUUUUUACCCAAGGUUGACCUCGGAUCAGGUAGGAAGACCCGCUGAACUUAAGCAUAUCAAUAAGCGGAGGA